rnacentral:misc_RNA from 1 species
GACCCUUCAAGCUCUGCUUGGUGUUGGGCGUUUGUUCCGCCUCCGCGCGUGGACUCGCCUCAAAUUCAUUGGCAGCCGGCAAGUUGGCUUCGUGCGCAGCACAUUGCGUCACGGCUCCAGCCUGCCUCCGUCCAGAAAGGCUCCUCAUCACU